GCAAGUCGAGCGAACGGAUAAGGAGCUUGCUCCUUUGAAGUUAGCGGCGGACGGGUGAGUAACACGUGGGUAACCUACCUAUAAGACUGGAAUAACUUCGGGAAACCGGAGCUAAUGCCGGAUAACAUUUGGAACCGCAUGGUUCUAAAGUAAAAGAUGGUUUUGCUAUCACUUAUAGAUGGACCCGCGCCGUAUUAGCUAGUUGGUAAGGUAACGGCUUACCAAGGCAACGAUACGUAGCCGACCUGAGAGGGUGAUCGGCCACACUGGAACUGAGACACGGUCCAGACUCCUACGGGAGGCAGCAGUAGGGAAUCUUCCGCAAUGGACGAAAGUCUGACGGAGCAACGCCGCGUGAGUGAUGAAGGUUUUCGGAUCGUAAAACUCUGUUAUUAGGGAAGAACAAAUGUGUAAGUAACUGUGCACAUCUUGACGGUACCUAAUCAGAAAGCCACGGCUAACUACGUGCCAGCAGCCGCGGUAAUACGUAGGUGGCAAGCGUUAUCCGGAAUUAUUGGGCGUAAAGCGCGCGUAGGCGGUUUCUUAAGUCUGAUGUGAAAGCCCACGGCUCAACCGUGGAGGGUCAUUGGAAACUGGGAAACUUGAGUACAGAAGAGGAAAGUGGAAUUCCAUGUGUAGCGGUGAAAUGCGCAGAGAUAUGGAGGAACACCAGUGGCGAAGGCGACUUUCUGGUCUGUAACUGACGCUGAUGUGCGAAAGCGUGGGGAUCAAACAGGAUUAGAUACCCUGGUAGUCCACGCCGUAAACGAUGAGUGCUAAGUGUUAGGGGGUUUCCGCCCCUUAGUGCUGCAGCUAACGCAUUAAGCACUCCGCCUGGGGAGUACGACCGCAAGGUUGAAACUCAAAGGAAUUGACGGGGACCCGCACAAGCGGU
rnacentral:rRNA from 1 species